rnacentral:tRNA from 1 species
GGAUUGUGGCUCAGUGGAAGAGCGCUCGCCCAGCACGGGCGUGACCUGGGUUCAAUUCUCAGCACCA